CCUACGGGUGGCUGCAGUGGGGAAUAUUGGACAAUGGGCGAAAGCCUGAUCCUGCCAUGCCGCGUGUGUGAAGAAGGCCUUCGGGUUGUAAAGCACUUUCAGUGGGGAAGAAAGCCUUGGGGCUAAUACCCUCGAGGAAGGACAUCACCCACAGAAGAAGCACCGGCUAACUCCGUGCCAGCAGCCGCGGUAAUACGGAGGGUGCGAGCGUUAAUCGGAAUUACUGGGCGUAAAGCGCGCGUAGGCGGUCUGAUAAGCCGGUUGUGAAAGCCCCGGGCUCAACCUGGGAACGGCAUCCGGAACUGUCAGGCUAGAGUGCAGGAGAGGAAGGUAGAAUUCCCGGUGUAGCGGUGAAAUGCGUAGAGAUCGGGAGGAAUACCAGUGGCGAAGGCGGCCUUCUGGACUGACACUGACGCUGAGGUGCGAAAGCGUGGGUAGCAAACAGGAUUAGAUACCCCGGUAGUC
rnacentral:rRNA from 1 species